rnacentral:rRNA from 1 species
GACGAACGCUGGCGGCGUGCCUAAUACAUGCAAGUCGAACGCAGUGGGGACGGGUGAGUAACACGUGGGUAACCUCCCAUCAGAGGGGAUAACACUUGGAAACAGGUGCUAAACCGAUAUUUAUGGAUGGACCCGCGGUGCGUUAGCUAGUUGGUGAGGUAACGGCUCACCAAGGCCACGAUGCAUAGCCGACCGGAGAGGGUAACCGGCCAAACUGGAACGGAGCCACGGCCCAGACUCCUACGGGUGGCAGCAGUAGGGAAUCUUCGGCACUGGACGAAAGUCUGACCGAGCAACGCGGCGUGAGUGAAGAAGGUUUUCGGUUCUUAAAACUCUGUUGUUAGAGAAGCGGUAUCUAACCAGAAAGCCACGGCUAACUACGUGCCAGCAGCCGCGGUAAUAC